rnacentral:rRNA from 1 species
CCUACGGGAGGCAGCAGUGGGGAAUAUUGGACAAUGGGGGGAACCCUGAUCCAGCCAUGCCGCGUGUGUGAAGAAGGCCCUCGGGUUGUAAAGCACUUUCAGUGAGGAAGAACGCCUGGUGGUUAAUACCCAUCAGGAAAGACAUCACUCACAGAAGAAGCACCGGCUAACUCCGUGCCAGCAGCCGCGGUAAUACGGAGGGUGCGAGCGUUAAUCGGAAUUACUGGGUGUAAAGCGCGCGUAGGUGGCUUGAUAAGCCGGUUGUGAAAGCCCCGGGCUCAACCUGGGAACGGCAUCCGGAACUGUCAAGCUAGAGUGCAGGAGAGGAAGGUAGAAUUCCCGGUGUAGCGGUGAAAUGCGUAGAGAUCGGGAGGAAUACCAGUGGCGAAGGCGGCCUUCUGGACUGACACUGACACUGAGGUGCGAAAGCGUGGGUAGCAAACAGGAUUAGAUACCCUUGUAGUC